AGUGAACGCUGGCGGUAGGCCUAACACAUGCAAGUCGAACGGCAGCACAGUAAGAGCUUGCUCUUACGGGUGGCGAGUGGCGGACGGGUGAGGCAUGCAUCGGAAUCUACUUUUUCGUGGGGGAUAACGUAGGGAAACUGACGCUAAUACAGCAUACGACCUACGGGUGAAAGCAGUGGAUCUUCGGACCUUGCGCGAUUGAAUGAGCCGAUGUCGGAUUAGCUAGUUGGCGGGGUAAAGGCCCACCAAGGCGACGAUACGUAGCUGGUCUGAGAGGAUGAUCAGCCACACUGGAACUGAGACACGGUCCAGACUCCUACGGGAGGCAGCAGUGGGGAAUAUUGGACAAUGGGCGAAAGCCUGAUCCAGCCAUGCCGCGUGGGUGAAGAAGGCCUUCGGGUUGUAAAGCCCUUUUGUUGGGAAAGAACAGCAGCAGGUUAAUCCCCCGCUGUUCUGACGGUACCCAAAGAAUAAGCACCGGCUAACUUCGUG
rnacentral:rRNA from 1 species